rnacentral:rRNA from 1 species
ACCCGCUGAACUUAAGCAUAUCAAUAAGCGGAGGAAAAGAAACCAACAGGGAUUGCCCCAGUAACGGCGAGUGAAGCGGCAACAGCUCAAAUUUGAAAUCUGGCCCUCGGGUCCGAGUUGUAAUUUGUAGAGGAUGCUUUUGGCGCGGUGCCUUCCGAGUUCCCUGGAACGGGACGCCAUAGAGGGUGAGAGCCCCGUCUGGUUGGAUGCCAAGCCUCUGUAAAGCUCCUUCGACGAGUCGAGUAGUUUGGGAAUGCUGCUCUAAAUGGGAGGUAUAUGUCUUCUAAAGCUAAAUACCGGCCAGAGACCGAUAGCGCACAAGUAGAGUGAUCGAAAGAUGAAAAGCACUUUGAAAAGAGGGUUAAAUAGUACGUGAAAUUGUUGAAAGGGAAGCGUUUAUGACCAGACUUGGGCCUGGCUGAUCAUCCGGUGUUCUCACCGGUGCACUCUGCCGGCUCAGGCCAGCAUCAGUUCGUAGCGGGGGAUAAAGGCGGCGGGAACGUGGCUCCCUCGGGAGUGUUAUAGCCCGCCGUGUAAUACCCUGCGUCGGACUGAGGUUCGCGCUUCUGCAAGGAUGCUGGCGUAAUGGUCAUCAACGACCCGUCUUGAAACACGGACCAAGGAGUCGUCUUCGUAUGCGAGUGUUCGGGUGUCAAACCCCUACGCGUAAUGAAAGUGAACGCAGGUGAGAGCUUCGGCGCAUCAUCGACCGAUCCUGAUGUUCUCGGAUGGAUUUGAGUAAGAGCAUACGGGGCCGGACCCGAAAGAAGGUGAACUAUGCCUGUAUAGGGUGAAGCCAGAGGAAACUCUGGUGGAGGCUCGCAGCGGUUCUGACGUGCAAAUCGAUCGUCAAAUAUGGGCAUGGGGGCGAAAGAC